rnacentral:rRNA from 1 species
UACGUAGGGUACGAGCGUUAAUCGGAAUUACUGGGCGUAAAGCGUGCGCAGGCGGUUUUGUAAGCCAGAUGUGAAAGCCCCGGGCUUAACCUGGGAAUGGCAUUUGGGACUGCAAGGCUUGAGUGCGGCAGAGGAGACUGGAAUUCCUGGUGUAGCAGUGAAAUGCGUAGAUAUCAGGAGGAAUACCGAUGGCGAAGGCAGGUCUCUGGGCUGACACUGACGCUCAUGCACGAAAGCGUGGGGAGCAAACAGG